UACGAAGGGGGCUAGCGUUGCUCGGAAUCACUGGGCGUAAAGGGUGCGUAGGCGGGUCUUUAAGUCAGGGGUGAAAUCCUGGAGCUCAACUCCAGAACUGCCUUUGAUACUGGAGAGCUCGAGUCCGGAAGAGGUGAGUGGAACUCCGAGUGUAGAGGUGAAAUUCGUAGAUAUUCGGAAGAACACCAGUGGCGAAGGCGGCUCACUGGUCCGGUACUGACGCUGAUGUGCGAAAGCGUGGGGAGCAAACAGG
rnacentral:rRNA from 1 species